UGGGGUGUCGCCAAGCGGUAAGGCACAAGACUUUGACUCUUGCAUCUCGCUGGUUCGAAUCCAGCCACUCCAGCCA
rnacentral:tRNA from 1 species